rnacentral:rRNA from 1 species
CUACGGGGCGCUGCAGUGGGGGAUAUUGCACAAUGGAGGAAACUCUGGUGCAGCAACGCCGCGUGAGGGAAGAAGGUCUUCGGAUUGUAAACCUUUGUUUUUGGUGACGAAUAAAUGACGGUAGCCAAAGAGGAAGCCACGGCUAACUACGUGCCAGCAGCCGCGGUAAUACGUAGGUGGCAAGCGUUGUCCGGAUUUACUGGGUGUAAAGGGAGCGCAGGCGGGACAGCAAGUUGGAUGUGAAAUACCGGAGCUUAACUCCGGAGCUGCAUCCAAAACUGUUGUUCUUGAGUGAAGUAGAGGUUGGCGGAAUUCCGAGUGUAGCGGUGAAAUGCGUAGAUAUUCGGAGGAACACCAGUGGCGAAGGCGGCCAACUGGGCUUUAACUGACGCUGAGGCUCGAAAGCAUGGGGAGCAAACAGGAUUAGAUACCCUCAUAGUC